CAAGUCGUGGGGCAGCAGGUCCGUAGCAAUACGGAUGCUGGCGACCGGCAAACGGGUGCGUAACACGUACGCAACCUUCCUUCAGGCGGGGAAUAGCCCGGGGAAACCCGGAUUAAUACCCCAUAAAAUCUUGGAAUGGCAUCAUUCUAUUAUUAAAGCUUCGGCACCUGAUGAUGGGCGUGCGGCUGAUUAGGUAGUUGGCGGGGUAACGGCCCACCAAGCCAGCGAUCAGUAGCUGAUGUGAGAGCAUGAUCAGCCACACGGGCACUGAGACACGGGCCCGACUCCUACGGGAGGCAGCAGUAAGGAAUAUUGGUCAAUGGACGAAAGUCUGAACCAGCCAUGCCGCGUGGAGGAUGAAGGUCCUCUGGAUUGUAAACUUCUUUUAUUUGGGACGAAAAAGGGGAAUUCUUUCCCCCCUGACGGUACCAGAUGAAUAAGCACCGGCUAACUCCGUGCCAGCAGCCGCGGUAAUACGGAGGGUGCAAGCGUUAUCCGGAUUCACUGGGUUUAAAGGGUGCGUAGGCGGAUAGGGAAGUCCGUGGUGAAAUCCUGCAGCUUAACUGCAGAACUGCCGUGGAUACUCACUAUCUUGAAUAUCGUGGAGGUUAGCGGAAUAUGUCAUGUAGCGGUGAAAUGCUUAGAUAUGACAUAGAACACCCAUUGCGAAGGCAGCUAACUACGCGAUCAUUGACGCUGAUGCACGAAAGCGUGGGGAUCAAACAGGAUUAGAUACCCUGGUCGUCCACGCCCUAAACGAUGAUUACUCGACAUUGGUGAUACACAGUCAGUGUCUGAGCGAAAGCAUUAAGUAAUCCACCUGGGAAGUACGAUCGCAAGAU
rnacentral:rRNA from 1 species